GCCUGCGUGGCUUAGUUGGUUAAGUUUCUGACUUCAGCUCAGGUCAUGAUCUCUCUGUUCAUGGGUUCAAGCCCCGUGUUGGGCU
rnacentral:tRNA from 1 species